GGAGGGAGCUAGCGUUAUUCGGAAUUACUGGGCGUAAAGCGCACGUAGGCGGCUUUGUAAGUUAGAGGUGAAAGCCUGGAGCUCAACUCCAGAACUGCCUUUAAGACUGCAUCGCUUGAAUCCAGGAGAGGUGAGUGGAAUUCCGAGUGUAGAGGUGAAAUUCGUAGAUAUUCGGAAGAACACCAGUGGCGAAGGCGGCUCACUGGACUGGUAUUGACGCUGAGGUGCGAAAGCGUGGGGAGCAAACAGGAUUAGAUACCCUGUAGUCCACGCCGUAAACGAUGAUAACUAGCUGUCCGGGCACUUGGUGCUUGGGUGGCGCAGCUAACGCAUUAAGUUAUCCGCCUGGGGAGUACGGCCGCAAGGUUA
rnacentral:rRNA from 1 species